UACGAAGGGUGCUAGCGUUGCUCGGAAUUACUGGGCGUAAAGCGCACGUAGGCGGCUCUUUAAGUCGGGGGUGAAAUCCUGGAGCUCAACUCCAGAACUGCCUUCGAUACUGGAGAGCUCGAGUCCGGGAGAGGUGAGUGGAACUGCGAGUGUAGAGGUGAAAUUCGUAGAUAUUCGCAAGAACACCAGUGGCGAAGGCGGCUCACUGGCCCGGUACUGACGCUGAGGUGCGAAAGCGUGGGGAGCAAACAGG
rnacentral:rRNA from 1 species